AACGAACGCUGGCGGCAGGCUUAACACAUGCAAGUCGAACGGGUGCAGCAAUGCAUCAGUGGCAGACGGGUGAGUAACACGUGGGAACCUUCCUAGGGGUACGGAACAACUCAGGGAAACUCGAGCUAAUACCGUAUACGUCCGUGAGGAGAAAGAUUUAUCGCCCUUAGACGGGCCCGCGUCGGAUUAGCUAGUUGGUGGGGUAACGGCCUACCAAGGCGACGAUCCGUAGCUGAUCUUAGAGGAUGAUCAGCCACACUGGGACUGAGACACGGCCCAGACUCCUACGGGAGGCAGCAGUGGGGAAUCUUGGACAAUGGGCGCAAGCCUGAACCAGCCAUGCCGCGUGAGUGAAGAAGGUCUUCGGAUUGUAAAGCUCUUUUGCCAGGGACGAUAAUGACGGUACCUGGAGAAUAAGCCCCGGCAAACUUCGUGCCAGCCGCCGCCGUAA
rnacentral:rRNA from 1 species